UGCAAGUCGAACGAGAUGGCCCAGUGAAGGUUGCGUGCUUGCACAAGGCUGAAUCUGGAUCACCAUCUAGUGGCAGACGGGUGAGUAACACGUGGGUGACCUACCUUUUCGUUGGGGAUAACAGUUGGAAACGAUUGCUAAUACCGAAUAAAAUAUAAGAGCCAAUUUUAUAUUGAAAGGAGCCUUUAAAGCUUCGCGAUUAGAUGGGCCUGCGGCGUAUUAACUUGUUGGUGAGGUAACGGCUCACCAAGGUAACGAUGCGUAGCCGAACUGAGAGGUUGAUCGGCCACACUGGGACUGAGACACGGCCCAGACUCCUACGGGAGACAGCAGUUAGGAAUAUUCGUCAAUGGGGGAAACCCUGAACGAGCAAUGCCGCGUGAGUGAUGACGGUCCUUUGGAUUGUAAAACUCUGUUGUAUGGAAAAAAUGACUAGGUUAGGAAAUGAACCUAGUGUGAUGGUACCAUACCAGAAAGCCCCGGCUAACUACGUGCCAGCAGCCGCGGUAAUACGUAGGGGGCAAGCGUUAUCCGGAUUUAUUGGGCGUAAAGCGUGUGUAGGCGGUUUGUUAAGUUUAAGAUUAAAGCCUGGGGCUCAACUCCAGUUCGUCUUAAAAACUGGCAGACUAGAGUACGGUAGAGGCAAACGGAAUUUCUAGUGUAGCGGUGAAAUGCGUAGAUAUUAGAAGGAACACCAGUGGCGAA
rnacentral:rRNA from 1 species